rnacentral:rRNA from 1 species
AUUGAACGCUGGCGGAAUGCUUUACACAUGCAAGUCGAACGGUAGAGGGGGCAACCCCUCGAGAGUGGCGAACGGGUGAGUAAUAUAUCGGAACGUGCCCAGUCGUGGGGGAUAACGUAGCGAAAGUUACGCUAAUACCGCAUACGAUCUAAGGAUGAAAGCGGGGGAUCGCAAGACCUCGCGCGAUUGGAGCGGCCGAUAUCAGAUUAGGUAGUUGGUGGGGUAAAGGCUCACCAAGCCAACGAUCUGUAGAUGGUCUGAGAGGACGACCAGUCAAACUGGGACGGGGACACGGUCCAGAGUCGUACGGGAGGAAGCAGGGGGGAAUUUUGGACAAUGGACGCAAUUCGGAUCCAGCCCUUCCGCGUGCAGGAUGAAGGCCCUCGGGUUGUAAACUGCUUUUGUACGGAACGAAAAGGUCUCUCUUAAUACGGGGGACUCAUGACGGUACCGUAAGAAUAAGCACCGGCUAACUACGUGCCAGCCGCCGCAGUAA